UACGUAGGUGGCAAGCGUUGUCCGGAAUUACUGGGUGUAAAGCGCGUGUAGGCGGGAGGCCAAGUCUGCUGUGAAAUCGCCCGGCUCAACUGGGCGGGGUCGGUGGAAACUGGUCACCUGGAGGACGGUAGAGGCGAGUGGAAUUCCAGGUGUAGCGGUGAAAUGCGUAGAUAUCUGGAGGAACACCGGUGGCGAAGGCGGCAUCCUGGACCGGUAUUGACGCUGAGGCGCGAAAGCCAGGGGAGCAAACGGG
rnacentral:rRNA from 1 species